UACGUAGGGGGCAAGCGUUGUCCGGAUUUAUUGGGCGUAAAGAGCGUGUAGGCGGCUAGAUAGGUCCGUUGUGAAAACUGGAGGCUCAACCUCCAGCUGUCGAUGGAAACCAUCUAGCUAGAGUCCGGAAGAGGAGAGUGGAAUUCCUGGUGUAGCGGUGAAAUGCGCAGAUAUCGGGAAGAACACCCGUGGCGAAGGCGGCU
rnacentral:rRNA from 1 species